GAUCCUGGGCAACUCGACUCACUUAACACCAACUGCCUCAGCAAAAAAUAAGAAUACGGAAAAUUGGACAUAUUUACUUUAGAGAAGCAUCCAUAGCCUUGACCAAGAACUGAGCCCACCCAACUCAAAACAAGGAUAUGGGAGCCAAUCAUUAGUCUAUACAGCAGGAAUAUUGUGCUGUUACUUCCAUUUUACGGAUGAAAAAGCUGAAACAACUGGAGGUUAAAUAACAUCCAAAGUCCCAAAACCCUGUUGGGCCCUACUUGAGAAACAAAGAUGGCUCCCUACUGACUCUGAGCCAAAGAGGAUUAUAAGACUCUUGCAAAUCUCAGUUCAGUUUCACCUUCCUGGAGGUCAACCCUGAUGCUUGGACCUGCUCCAUCAAGGAUACCUAAUGGGUCCUUUUGUAUCUAAUUAAUUAUCUCUGUCUGUAAUUCCCAUUUUAAUUUAAGCUUCUUGAGAACAA